AUCUGGCGUCUUCGACGUCCGAGUUGUAAUUUGAAGAAGGCGACUUUGUAGCUGGUCCUUGUCUAUGUUCCUUGGAACAGGACGUCAUAGAGGGUGAGAAUCCCGUGUGGCGAGGAUCCCAGUUAUUUGUAAAGUGCUUUCGACGAGUCGAGUUGUUUGGGAAUGCAGCUCUAAGUGGGUGGUAAAUUCCAUCUAAAGCUAAAUAUUGGCGAGAGACCGAUAGCGAACAAGUACAGUGAUGGAAAGAUGAAAAGAACUUUGAAAAGAGAGUGAAAAAGUACGUGAAAUUGUUGAAAGGGAAGGGCAUUUGAUCAGACAUGGCGUUUGCUUCGGCUUUCGCUGGGCCAGCAUCAGUUUUAGCGGUUGGAUAAAUCCUCGGGAAUGUGGCUCUGCUUCGGUAGAGUGUUAUAGCCCGUGGGAAUACAGCCAGCUGGGACUGAGGAUUGCGACUUUUGUCAAGGAUGCUGG
rnacentral:rRNA from 1 species